UAGAACUCUGGCCUCUGGAGCUGGGAGAGAAGAAAUUUCUGGGGUUUGAAGCCACUCAGUUUGUUGUGGUUUAUUAUGGCAGUGCCAGGAUGGAAAAACACAGGGUGCUAUGAACUGAAUUGUCUCCCUCGCUUCCCUCAAAUUUCUAUGUGGCAAUCCAAACCGUCAAUGUAGUAUCUCCAAUAUCUGGAGAUAACAGGGCUUUUAGGAGCACACAAAGAGGCCACAUGAGCCAAGAGAGGAUGCCUCAGGACGGAGUCUACCUGCCUGCACUUUGACUUGGACUUCGGGUCUCCAGACUGUGAGGAGUUUGGAUGUUUGAUCCAUCUGGAUUGCAUUUCGGUGUUAAGGACGGAGGGAGCCAACUUCUAUUUUUCCGAAUGGCCGGUCAGUGGUACUAACGCGGCUGGACUGGAAAACCUUCCCGGGUUUGAAGCCCUUCACCCUCACCUUCCACCGGGCUCCGCGUC